AACCUAGCACACCUGCGGUGUGUACCUGCGGAAGGAUCAUUACACAAUAAACAUAUGAAGGCUGCACCGCCAACAGGCGGCAAGGCUGGAGUAUUUUAUUACCCUUGUCUUUUGCGCACUUGUUGUUUCCUGGGCGGGUUCGCCCGCCUCCAGGACCACAUGAUAAACCUUUUUUAUGCAGUUGCAAUCAGCGUCAGUACAACAAAUGUAAAUCAUUUACAACUUUCAACAACGGAUCUC
rnacentral:misc_RNA from 1 species